ensembl:lncRNA
CUGCAGAUUGAUUUUAUAAGACAUACAACACUGGGAGAGGACUGCAGAUUGAUUUUAUAACACGGACAACACUAGGAGAGGACUGCAGAUUGAUUUUAUAAGACAGACAACACUGGGAGAGGACUGCAGAUUGAUUUUAUAAGACGGACAACACUGGGAGAGGACUGCAGAUUGAUUUUAUAAGAUGGACAACACUGGGAGAGGACUGCAGAUUGAUAUUAUAACACGGACAACACUGCAGAUUGAACCACUGAAGUUCCCAGAAGGGGAUUAUAUCAACAAGUGAAAGCGAACAUCAUGUCACGUUAUCGUCUUACUGAGAUACCUAGUGGACACAACAGCAUAACCGAGGAGUUGAAUUUCCUACGUCCCUAAGACCAUUGAUAAAUAGGUCAUUGACUAAUACACAAAGACAACAUAUUAGUUAUACACACCAGUGGGAUACCCCAGCAGUUCUACUACCUGUCGUCAUACAGCAGGAACAGACACUUUCUACCUCAUCAAUUUACCAAAGUCCAGGUUCCAGAAAACCCCCCCGGCAUAAGACAUUUUACAGCCAUAUUCCAACCAAACAAGUAAAUAUGGCAAUAUUGCUUGAAUGAUCUGUCCAAUUCACAUUCACAUUCAUAGUCGGCAGGGUGGCCUAGUGGUUAGAGUGUAGAGGCGGCAGGGUGGCCUAGUGGUUAGAGUGUAGAGGCGGCAGGUAGCCUAGUGGUUAGAGUGGAGGGGUGGCAGGGGUGGCAGGGUAGCCUAGUGGUUAGAGUGGAGGGGCGGCAGCGUAGCCUAGUGGUUAGAGUGUUGGACUAGUAACCGGAAGGUUGCAAGUUCAAACCCCCGAGCUGACAAGGUACAAAUCUGUCACUCUGCCCCUGAACAGGCAGUUAAACCCACUGUUCCUAGGCCGUCAUUGAAAAUAAGAAUUU